rnacentral:lncRNA from 1 species
CGGGAAUCCUGGGGGUUCUCAAACACCAGUCUCGUUUCCUGGACGUCUACAGCGAUUUGCACUUUCUGAUUUUCCUGUAAUCUGGUUUUCUGUCAGAGACACACACAGACAUGAUACGCAUUUGGGACACGAACCGCCGAAAGGGCGUCUUUGCCGCCGUCGCUCCUCGGAUCGGUCAUCGGCGCUCGUGGAGGCUGGGAUAUCAUGCUGCAACAAAUGCGGAAUGUGCAAAGCAGCUCGGAAAGUCUGGCGACCGUCGCUGGCUCGGCUUGGCGGUAGCACGUAACCAUCCGCGUGCUAGAGAAAGCGGUGCUUUCAUUUGUUACAAAGCAGGUCUGAAGAGGUUUCCGGGCACGUCGUUUCUGCUCGCGUGUGGUGGUGCGGUCUAUUGAUACCACGAGGUAGCCUCGAGAAUUGCGCUGUGACCUCAUUCGGACCUGUUUGUCGAUACUCACAUCUCGAUACCUCACAGUAACCUGGGUCCUUGCUUAGCGCUUAGGCCCUGUGAUUUGCAGAAUUCUCUGGUGGAAAGGAUCGGACGAAUGCAUUCUGCUGUUCCGAAUGUGGCCUGUGUGUGGGUUGAAGCCUGACACCUCACUUCUUCCCCCAUCGACCGUUUCUCGAAUAACGGCUGAAGUGCCUAUAUGGACCCGCUGGAAUCUGCUACUCGAAAUCCCACCGACACGCAGGAUGGCAGCAAGUGCACAGAUCGACAAGCUGAGUAGCCAAGGGGCACUGGCGAACACGGGCUGGGCUAUGCCCCCUGCAUCCUGAGUGCGCGAAACUACUUUGGUGGAGCUGUGAUGGGUGCGUGUAGCCAGGACAACCAUACGCAGCACCUCAAAGCCAUUUCAACUGUCCCUUUACACCAAACAAUGUCAGUCCUGGGCCUGCUUCAGGAUGCCCGCCAGGCUGCCAACAGUGAGGUGAACGCUGCACCAGUCGGCAUUCCUCUUUGAACCUUGGCAAUGAUUCUUCCGAAAGGGUCCAUUUACAGCCCAUGAAAGACGUGUACAAACUCCUUUUCAUCCGCACAGCAUGGAUACGUGAACCUCGGUUGCAGCAUAAGAGGUAGGGGUUUUCUUCCUUUCGAAUUCCGCAUCUUUUAAUCUCCUUAGAGGAACCCCAGAUGACGGGUGGUGCUUAUGGAAGGAGGCUCCUUUUUUCCCGUUCUUUUCUGGUUCAGAGUAUGUGCAUUCAUUUGUCUCUUGGCAAUGCUUGUGCCGUGUCUCCCUACAUGGCAAGGUAAAAAAGCAUAAAUUGGCCCGGUGUUACGGCAAGGCCUGCUCUCUCUAUCUCUCGCAAACAGGUACCAUGUGCACAAACUGCGAGACUGACAAUAAGGCCCGAGUUCUUGUUUUGCGGCCCAGCCCCAGAGAGUCAGCAUCAGUAGACCCUCUGAGGAGGCGUGCCGACAGUCGGAACGAGGCGAUCGAUCUCCAUGCCAGGUUACAAAGUCGGAAUCCGGUGUUUGUGUUAUGUUCAAUAAAAGGGAUUACCUUCUCGUGAUUGCGUGGGCGCGCAAUGGAAAGUGCAAAAGUUUUCGCGAGUGUGUGUUCACCUCACCUAGUCGUGUUUUGCGCAAUUUGAGGAACAGGUAUUCUCCUGGUGCCACUUCCUACCACAGUCACCGAUGACACUGCCACGACCUUUUGUUUUUUGUCACAGUGCCUGGUAGGGGACGUGAAAACGAAGGCAAUAGCGAAAUUGAUGUUGACAUCAAGGCAGGGCUUCUGGACUAGCGCGAAUCCAGGUGAGCCCCAACUCAAUUCUGUCGAGUAGAGAAAGACGCAUUCUAUCACUGCUCUUGUUAAAGGUUCCACCUGUUUCGCUGAUAUGCGCGUCGAAAGUCCCUGAUUCGAUGGGCCCAUGGACAUGUCGCUCCCUAGGCCCCCUUUCGUGCGGGCAGCCGCUGCAAAUCGCACGUGGCUGUAAAUCUCAACUCGUAGACUGUUUCCCCUGUGCUAUAUACGUCAGAGUCCCGCAUGAUACGGACAUUAUCCGUCGUGACCCGUUCUCCUCUUUCGUUUCUCUUUACUGUGCGUUGGAAGAAGGUUUGUGAGGGUAAUCCGCCGAUUGUGGCUCCAUAGCUACGUACAACGUGUCCAGAAACAAGCUAUGGCAACUUCUCACCACCUAUACGUGUGACUCGCCUCCUCCUAAGCCUCGAGGAGGUUUCUGUAUGCAUGGUACACUUGCACAACCGUCAGUGUGUGUCUUUUACAAAAGGUAUCCCAGCCACAUGACCGCCAGCCACAAAAGUCCCGUGACGUAGUUCACUGUCGCUGCUCCAGAAGCAUUUGAAUCCGUAGAUUCAUCGUCUGUUGACGAUUCAGGUACUGUUGUUGUGGUUGUAGUUACGCUUUUGACUUUGAUCGUGCACUCCUCGCCUGUUUUAACACCCGCUUUCUUGCAUUUGUAGCAAAACGUUUCCUCCUUCUGCGGUUGCUCCUUCAAUCGGAACGAGUAACCAUUGGUUUGAUCUCCCUUUCGCUCAAUGUCGUCUCUUGUAGUUGGGCUGUUGGCGCAUUCUUCUCCUUCUUCAACGUAUACUUGCGACGCAUUAUCGGGAUCCAGAUUGUAGUUAGUAGGACAGGUGAAGUAAACCGCGUCUGUGUUCUCUACUUGGAGAACAAGAUCUCCUGAUCCAGCUGUUAAACUACGGCCCGGCGCCCCCGAAGCCGUGCAGCUUUUGGGCAUACUCGCAACGUUGAUUACGGCUGUGCAGGUGACGUCACUGCUUUUCUUGCACUGGUAACAUAUUUGCUUUGCUUCGGUGGGGAGCUUCGACAUUGUCAGUGUCGAGCCGUCCCAGGUUGCUGUAGAGCCAUUUCCUAGUAAUUCAGUCAAAGUUUUUUGUUCCCCGCAUGUGCCGUUCGUGUACUGAAGGGCAUUAUUGGAACCAGCUGGAGAGAGUGGUGACUCAGGGGGACAUACCAGCUUGACGGCCAGGUUACCGGGAGUCAACGACACCUCGAUCCUGUCACUGGCGCACGUGUGGGUUGGCACCUCAACAGCCGUAGACUGUGCAGUGCGGUUGACAAACUGAAUGAGCCCAGCAAGUAACAGAACGCGACCUAGAGGGCGGAACACGCCGCCCGCGUGGACAAGAUAUCUCGCCAUUGAAUACGAAGCUCAGUGAUGUCUUGAAUCCUGAUUGGUCACCUGUCGCAAGACAGCUCCCAACGUCCGACUGACAAUAAUGCGGACGUAUUUAAGUGGCCAGCCCGUUCCUGUCGCUAGAUGUGAAUACCAAAACAAACAAAAAGUGACCGUGACAACUAACCCUCUGCUUCUAUCCAAAAGCGAAUGCAUGUCUUGGCAGCGCCCGCGGUCAGCGGACGGCCGGAGAGUCUGCAUGUAUACGACCUACGUGCUUAUAACAUCGUUCUACCCACUCUGGUGCGCGCUGGAUCUUGAGCUCCCCUAUCCGCCAACAGUCGCCCUUGUGUGGCUCGAAUCGUUCGCUGUCCCUCCCGAAUGUUUGGAUCGGCUCUCCUGCGACAUGGGAAUGAGUCAAAAAAGACAUAAACCUGUAAUCAAGGAGAAUCGGCCAAGCAGGCUCCUUCAUCACCCGUGCGGAGGAUGGUGGUGGUGUCUCCUCCCUUCUCGGGCAACCGCCCCCCUGCUUCUGACUGCUGUCUUGCGAAGACACAUCUGCCUCGUGGCUCAUCUCAUCGAUAUCGAGAAAACAUGUUUUGGCUUUCAACCCCCCUGUUGAGUUUAAGAGCUACAAAUAUAUCUACGGAAACACUCA